ensembl:lncRNA
UAGAGGAGUAAGGUAGCGGAGUGGGGUAGAGGAGUAAGGUAGCGGAGUGGGGUAGAGGAGUAAGGUAGUGGAGUGGGGUAGAGGAGUAAGGUAGAGGAGUAAGGUAGCGGAGUGGGGUAGAGGAGUAAGGUAGUGGAGUGGGGUAGAGGAGUAAGGUAGAGGAGUAAGGUAGCGGAGUGGGGUAGAGGAGUAAGGUAGCAGAGAGGGGUAGAGGAGUAAGGUAGUGGAGUGGGGUAGAGGAGUAAGGUAGCAGAGAGAGGUAGAGGAGUAAGGUAGCGGAGUGGGGUAGAGGAGUAAGGUAGUGGAGUGGGGUAAAGGAGUGGGGUAGAGGAGUAAGGGAGCGGAGUGGGGUAGAGGAGUAAGGUAGCGGAGAGGGGUAGAGGAGUAAGGUAGCAGAGAGGGGUAGAGGAGUAAGGUAGCGGAGAGGGGUAGAGGAGUAAGGUAGUAGAGAGGGGUAGAGGAAUAAGGUAGCAAAGAGGGGUAGAGGAGUAAGGUAGCGGAGUGGGGUAGAGGAGUAAGGUAGCGGAGUGGGGUAGAGGAGGAAGGUAGUGGAGUGGGGUAAAGGAGAGGGGUAGAGGAGUGGGGGAGCAGAGUGGGGUAGAGGAGUAAGGUAGAGGAGUAAGGUAGCGGAGUGGGGUAGAGGAGUAGGGUAGCGGAGUGGGGUAGAGGAGUAAGGUAGUGGAGUAGCGGAAUAGGAUAGAGGAGUGGGGUAGAGGAGUAAGGUAGUGGAGUAGCGGAAUAGGAUAGAGGAGUGGGGUAGUGGAGUAGCGGAAUAGGGUAGAGGAGUGGGGUAGAGGAGUAGCGGAAUAGGAUAGAGGAGUGGGGUAGAGGAGUAGCGGAAUAGGAUAGAGGAGUGGGGUAGUGGAGUAGCAGAAUAGGAUAGUGGAUUGGGGUAGAGGAGUGGGGUAGUGGAGUAGCGGAAUAGGAUAGAGGAGUGGGGUAGUGGAGUAGGGUACUGGAGUGGGGUAGAGGAGUGGGGUAGUGGAGUAGGGUACUGGAGUGGGGUAGUGGAGUAGCGGAAUAGGGUAGAGGAGUGGGGUAGAGGAGUAAGGUAGUGGAGUAGCGGAAUAGGAUAGAGGAGUGGGGUAGAGGAGUAGCGGAAUAGGAUAGAGGAGUGGGGUAGAGGAGUGGGGUAGUGGAGUAAGGUAGAGGAGUAGCGGAAUAGGAUAGAGGAGUGGGGUAGCGAUCUAGCGGAGAGGGUGGUAGCAUCAUCAACAUCAUUCUCUUGGCGUGCGUCCCCUAUAUAGUUCCUAUGGGAUGCAGCCUUGGUAAAUUAACUGGUGAUUUGGGUGAUUUGGGUGAUGAUGUCCCUGUAGGAGAUUUGGGUGUCAUUGUUCUGGUGGAGGGAUUAGGGUGGCUUUACACCUCAGGCAGUGUGUGUGUGUGUGUGUGUGUGCGUGCGUGUGUGUGUGUGUGUGUGUGUGUGUGUGUGUGUGUGUGUGUGUGUGUGUGUGUGUGUGUGUGUGUGUGUGUGUGUGUGUGUGUGUGUCUAUAUGUGCGUGUGUGUGGGUGUGUGAAUGUUCUACAUAAUAUGAGUAAUUGUGUUUUCUAACAAGGCAGGGGUGAGAGCCAAAUAAAACAAGGUAACGAUAAACCUG